CCUACGGGAGGCAGCAGUGAGGAAUAUUGGUCAAUGGACGAGAGUCUGAACCAGCCAAGUAGCGUGAAGGAUGAAUGCCCUAUGGGUUGUAAACUUCUUUUAUAUGGGAAUAAACUGUUCCACGUGUGGGAUUUUGUAUGUACCAUAUGAAUAAGGAUCGGCUAACUCCGUGCCAGCAGCCGCGGUAAUACGGAGGAUCCGAGCGUUAUCCGGAUUUAUUGGGUUUAAAGGGAGCGUAGGUGGAUUGUUAAGUCAGUUGUGAAAGUUUGCGGCUCAACCGGAAAAUUGCAGUUGAAACUGGCAGUCUUGAGUACAGUAGAGGUGGGCGGAAUUCGUGGUGUAGCGGUGAAAUGCUUAGAGAUCACGAAGAACUCCGAUUGCGAAGGCAGUUCACUGGACUGCAACUGACACUGAGGCUCGAAAGUGUGGGUAUCAAACAGGAUUAGAUACCCCAGUAGUC
rnacentral:rRNA from 1 species